rnacentral:rRNA from 1 species
CAGCCGCCGCGGUAAUACGUAGGGUGCAAGCGUUAAUCGGAAUUACUGGGCGUAAAGCGUGCGCAGGCGGUUUGUUAAGACAGAUGUGAAAUCCCCGGGCUUAACCUGGGAACUGCAUUUGUGACUGGCAAGCUAGAGUCUGGCAGAGGGGGGUGGAAUUCCGCGUGUAGCAGUGAAAUGCGUAGAUAUGCGGAGGAACACCGAUGGCGAAGGCAGCCCCCUGGGCCAACACUGACGCUCAUGCACGAAAGCGUGGGGAGCAAACAGGAUUAGAUACCCCGGUAGUCCCUGUCUCUUAUAC